rnacentral:rRNA from 1 species
UGCUAUUAGCUUGUUGGUGGGGUAAAGGCCUACCAAGGCAAAGAUGGUUAGCGGGUGUGAGAGCAUGGCCCGUCUCACCGGGACUGAGACACUGCCCAGACAUCUACGGAUGGCUGCAGUCGAGAAUCUUCCGCAAUGGACGAAAGUCUGACGGAGCGACGCCGCGUGAUGGACGAAGGCCCUCGGGUUGUAAACAUCUGUCGUAGGGGAGGAAAUUUUGACCGAUCCUAGGAGGAAGCACAGGCUAAGUUCGUGCCAGCAGCCGCGGUAAUACGAACUGUGCAAACGUUAUUCGGAAUCACUGGGCUUAAAGGGUGCGUAGGCGGGUUAGUAGGUCAGAUGUGAAAUCCCACGGCUCAACCGUGGAACUGCGUUUGAAACCACUAGUCUUGAGGGGAUCAGAGGAGAGCGGAACUGAUGGUGGAGCGGUGAAAUGCGUUGAUAUUAUCAGGAACACCGGUGGCGAAGGCGGCUCUCUGGGAUCUUUCUGACGCUGAGGCACGAAAGCUAGGGGAGCGAACGGGAUUAGAUACCCCGGUAGUCCUAGCUGUAAACGAUCUGUACUAGUCCGUGGGGACCCCCACAUCUUCUCGGACGUAGCGAAAAGUGUUAAG